GACGUAGGUGGCAAGCGUUGUCCGGAUUUACUGGGCGUAAAGAGCGCGCAGGCGGUCGUACAAGUCGCGUGUGAAAGCCCCCGGCUCAACUGGGGAGGGUCACGCGAUACUGUUCGACUCGAAGGCAGGAGAGGGAAGCAGAAUUCCCGGUGUAGUGGUGAAAUGCGUAGAUAUCGGGAGGAAUACCAGUGGCGAAGGCGGCUUCCUGGCCUGUUCUUGACGCUGAGGCGCGAAAGCUAGGGUAGCAAACGGG
rnacentral:rRNA from 1 species